rnacentral:rRNA from 1 species
GACGAACCGUGCGAACGUUGUUCGGAUUCACUGGGCUUAAAGGCGCGUAGGCGGGCUGCCAAGUCCGGGUGAAAUCUUUCGGCCCAACCGGAAAAGUGCCUUGGAUACUGGCGGCCUGGAGGGAGGCAGGGGCGGAUGGAACUUCCGGUGGAGCGGUGAAAUGCGUUGAUAUCGGAAGGAACGCCGGUGGCGAAAGCGAUCCGCUGGACCUCUUCUGACGCUGAGGCGCGAAAGCCAGGGGAGCAAACGGGG